CACUCCUGCGGGAGGCAGCAGUGGGGAAUUUUGGACAAUGGGCGAAAGCCUGAUCCAGCAAUGCCGCGUGCAGGAUGAAGGCCUUCGGGUUGUAAACUGCUUUUGUACGGAACGAAAAAGCUCCUUCUAAUACAGGGGGCCCAUGACGGUACCGUAAGAAUAAGCACCGGCUAACUACGUGCCAGCAGCCGCGGUAAUACGUAGGGUGCGAGCGUUAAUCGGAAUUACUGGGCGUAAAGCGUGCGCAGGCGGUUAUGUAAGACAGAUGUGAAAUCCCCGGGCUCAACCUGGGAACUGCAUUUGUGACUGCAUGGCUAGAGUACGGUAGAGGGGGAUGGAAUUCCGCGUGUAGCAGUGAAAUGCGUAGAUAUGCGGAGGAACACCGAUGGCGAAGGCAAUCCCCUGGACCUGUACUGACGCUCAUGCACGAAAGCGUGGGGAGCAAACAGGAUUAGAUACCCUAGUAGUCCCAUG
rnacentral:rRNA from 1 species